rnacentral:rRNA from 1 species
ACGGGGCUCAAGCUGGGCACCGAAGCCGCGGGUCCUGUCGGGGUGUCGUCCCCGGCAGGGCGGUAGGGGAGCGUUCCGCUGUAGGGUGAAGCCGGACCGUGAGGACCGGUGGACGAGGCGGAAGUGAGAAUGCAGGCAUGAGUAGCGAAAAGGCGGGUGAGAAUCCCGCCCCCCGUAAGCCUAAGGGUUCUUACGGAAGGUUCGUCCGCGUAAGGUUAGGCGGGAGCUAAGGCGAGGCCGAAAGGCGUAGCCGAUGCACAGCCGGUCGACAUUCCGGCCCCGCUCAGGGAUCGCUACGAGCCACGGAGGGACGCAGGAGGGUAGCCCUACCGGCGACCGGUCGUGCCGGGCCAACCGGGUAGGCUGGGGUCCUAGGCAAAUCCGGGACCCCGUCAAGGCCGAGACGGGAGUGCGAGCGGGAUUGAGACGCCCGCGAAGUGGGUGAGCCCACACUGCCAAGAAAAGCUUCGUGGCCAGAUCCCUGGGUGCCCGUACCGCAAACCGACACAGGUAGGCAGGCACACAACGUGCCCAGGGGCGCGAGGGAACCCUCCUCAAGGAACUCGGCAAAUUGGCCCCGUAACUUCGGGAGAAGGGGUGCCCCGGUAGGGUGAGGUGCCUCGCGCACCGAGCCCGAAGGGGUCGCAGGGAAUCGGCCCAGGCGACUGUUUAACAAAAACACAGGUCUCUGCUAAGCCGCAAGGCGAUGUAUAGGGGCCGACGCCUGCCCAGUGCCGGAAGGUAAAGGGGAGGGGUGAGGCCGCAAGGCGUAGCUCCAAACCGAAGCCCCGGUGAACGGCGGCCGUAACUAUAGCCAGGACCGCUGUAGUUACGUUACCAAAAUCCGGCUAUAUGCUGGGAAGUCCCGGGUAUCCUGCGCUACGCAGCCUGCCGAGAGCAGGUGCGUGACAAUGCGUCAGGUGGGGACCAUCAGCAGGAAAGGCUCCGGUGAUCGGAAUGCUGGACGUGAAGAAAAUUCCUCCUCACAUUGGGUACUACCUCGCCGGGUUCGCGGACGGCGAGGGGAGCUUCAACGUCAGCUUCCGCCCUCGGAGCGACGACCACCACCCCUGGAAGGUCUCCUUGUGUUUCAAUAUCUCGCAGCGCGACCGCGUGAUCCUUGCCCUGUUCAAGCGUUACCUGCGCUGCGGUACCCUCCGCCAGCGCAGGGACGGGGUGUGGUAUUACGAGGUGAAUAACCUGAACGCGAUCCGGGAUCAUGUGAUCCCAUUCUUCAAGCGGUUCAGGUUCCUCUCGACGAAGAAAAAGCGGGACUUCUCCAAGUUCUGCCAGAUCGCCGAGUUGGUGCUGCGAGGGGAGCACAGGACCGAAGAGGGGAUCCGCCGGAUUCUGGAGAUCCGGCGGGAGAUGAAUGAUGGUGGGAAACGUCGCUACGAGGAUGCCGAAAUCCUAAGCCGAUUUCGGCCCGGAGAAUCCUCAGAGACUGUACGCCGGACUCCGGAGCCUUAGCUCCGGAGAUGAGACAGUCCGACCUGCGUGGCGACACGCAGAGCGGGUAACCAAUCCCGCCGCCCGGUAACACCGGGUCGUAACAAGGUGAACGGUCCUAAGGUAGCGAAAUUCCUUGUCGGGUAAGUUCCGACCUGCAUGAAAGGCGUAACGACCUGGGCGCUGUCUCGAGGAGGGGCUCGGCGAAGGUGUACCACCCGUGAAGAUACGGGUUACCCGCAGCUGGACGGAAAGACCCCGUGGAGCUUUACUGCAGCCUGAUAUUGGAUGUGGUUUUGCCGUGUAUAGGAUAGGUGGGAGGCUGAGAAGCGGGGGCGCCAGCCUCCGUGGAGCCGCCCUUGGAAUACCACCCUCGGUAAGGCUACGUCCUAACCGGGGCCCUACAUCGGGUUCCGGGACAGUGUCAGGUGGGCAGUUUGACUGGGGCGGUCGCCUCCUAAAGGGUAACGGAGGCGCCCAAAGGUCCCCUCAGCACGGUUGGAAACCGUGCGUUGAGUGCAAGGGCAUAAGGGGGCUUGACUGCGAGACCCACAAGUCGAGCAGGGGCGAAAGCCGGGCCUAGUGAUCCUCUGGCGGCAAGUGGAAGCGCCAGGGCUUAACGGAUAAAAGCUACCCCGGGGAUAACAGGCUGAUCUCCCCCAAGAGUCCACAUCGACGGGGAGGUUUGGCACCUCGAUGUCGGCUCACCCCAUCCUGGGGGGGCAGUACCUCCCAAGGGUUGGGCUGUUCGCCCAUUAAAGGGGUACGUGAGCUGGGUUCAGACCGUCGUGAGACAGGUCGGUCCCUAUCCACUGCGGGCGCAGGUGGCUUGAGGGGGGCUGCUCCUAGUACGAGAGGACCGGAGUGGACGCACCUCUGGUGUACCGGUUGUCGCGCCAGCGGCACGCGCCGGGUAGCCAUGUGCGGUUGUGAUAAGCGCUGAAAGCAUCUAAGCGCGAAGCACGCCCCAAGAUGAGGCCACCCACCGGGUCAACCGGGUAAGGCCCCAGGAAGACCACCUGGUAGAUAGGCCGGAGGUGGAAGCGCGGCAACGCGUGAAGCCGACCGGUACUAAUCGGCCGAGGGCUUGGCGGC